GCUCAGUUGGUAAAGCACAAGGCUCUUAAUCUUGCGGACGUGGAUUCAAGUCCCAU
rfam:Triticum aestivum genome assembly, contig: Triticum_aestivum_CS42_TGACv1_scaffold_513516_6BS